GCUCGUGAGAUUGGCAAGAAGUCAUCCCCGGAAGUGAAGGUUCCCUUACACUCCUGUGAACACUACUACAUUGUCACCAAGCCUAUUGAAGGUGUCCCCAGCAACAUGCCAGUUAUUCGAGACUAUGAUGGUUACUGCUACUUUCGGGAAUGGAAUGGCGGUGUUCUUGCCGGAGGGUUCGAGCCGGUGGCCAAGCCAGUGUUCACUCAUGGUAUUCCAGACAAGUUUGAGUUCCAGCUGCUGCCAGAAGAUUGGGACCACUUCCAGGUUCUACUGGAUGAGAUCCUGUUCGGAUGCCCUGUUUGGAGACAGCGGAAGUGAGGCAGCUCAUCAACGGUCCG